rnacentral:pre_miRNA from 14 species
AGAGUCAUGUUUAAUAGCCAAGGAUGACUUGCCUGAUCUUUUUCACCUCCAUGAUUCAAUUUUAAGUUCGUGGAUUUUGGAUUAUUAUGCGUUUAAAAGGUAUAAUAAUUUGAGAUCAUGUUGAAUCUUGCGGGUUAGGUUUCAGGCAGUCUCUUUGGCUAUCUUGACAUGCUUUCU